AAGCUGUGGGAAAAGAAACCAACAGGGAUUGCCUUAGUAACGGCGAGUGAAGCGGCAAAAGCUCAAAUUUGAAAUCUGGCACCUUCGGUGUCCGAGUUGUAAUUUGAAGAAGGUAACUUUGGAGUUGGCUCUUGUCUAUGUUCCUUGGAACAGGACGUCACAGAGGGUGAGAAUCCCGUGCGAUGAGAUGCCCAAUUCUAUGUAAAGUGCUUUCGAAGAGUCGAGUUGUUUGGGAAUGCAGCUCUAAGUGGGUGGUAAAUUCCAUCUAAAGCUAAAUAUUGGCGAGAGACCGAUAGCGAACAAGUACAGUGAUGGAAAGAUGAAAAGAACUUUGAAAAGAGAGUGAAAAAGUACGUGAAAUUGUUGAAAGGGAAGGGCUUGAGAUCAGACUUGGUAUUUUGCGAUCCUUUCCUUCUUGGUUGGGUUCCUCGCAGCUUACUGGGCCAGCAUCGGUUUGGAUGGUAGGAUAAUGACUAAGGAAUGUGGCUCUACUUCGGUGGAGUGUUAUAGCCUUGGUUGAUACUGCCUGUCUAGACCGAGGACUGCGUCUUUGACUAGGA
rnacentral:rRNA from 1 species